rnacentral:rRNA from 1 species
AUGAACGCUGGCGGCGUGCCUAAUACCUGCAAGUCGAGCGAACAGACGAGGAGCUUGCUCCUCUGACGUUAGCGGCGGACGGGUGAGUAACACGUGGAUAACCUACCUAUAAGACUGGGAUAACUUCGGGAAACCGGAGCUAAUACCGGAUAAUAUAUUGAACCGCAUGGUUCAAUAGUGAAAGACGGUUUUGCUGUCACUUAUAGAUGGAUCCGCGCCGCAUUAGCUAGUUGGUAAGGUAACGGCUUACCAAGGCAACGAUGCGUAGCCGACCUGAGAGGGUGAUCGGCCACACUGGAACUGAGACACGGUCCAGACUCCUACGGGAGGCAGCAGUAGGGAAUCUUCCGCAAUGGGCGAAAGCUUGACGGAGCAACGCCGCGUGAGUGAUGAAGGUCUUCGGAUCGUAAAACUCUGUUUUUAGGGAAGAACAAAUGUGUAAGUAACUAUGCACGUCUUGACGGUACCUAAUCAGAAAGCCACGGCUAACUACGUG